GUACUCCAUGGAGAAAUUACAAGAGAUUCAUAAGAAUACCAUAAUAGGCUCCAAAUUACAACCUCCAAAAUUAUAGCUAAAUAAUGUUUCAGGCUUUGAUAUUCAGGAAUCCACAAAAAUGAAAAAAUCCUAAGCAUAUCUAAACUUUAAAAUCAAAUGGCACAAAUAGUCAACAGUUAGAGGUCAUUCACUGUGUCCUAGCCCUCUUAAAAGGUGCCACUAAAAGAACUAAGAAGGACAGUUAGAGUGGAUGCAGGGAAACAGCUGAGGAAGUCACCUAGGAAAGCUAUGAUGGCUUUUGGGAAGUGGAAAGAGCAGGGAAGUGGAGAGAAGUGAAAAGAUUCCCAUGUUUAAAUGAACUUAGAAACUACGGAAUUCUCUGAUAGAUGGGAUGUGGAACAGAUAAUCACAAGGAGGGAACAGGUACACAAAAGUAUUACAAGAUUCUAGAAUCUCAAGAAAUCAUGAUGAUUAACUUCCCCCACAAGAGGAAGCACCAGAAAUACUUCCAAGAGUAAUAGCAAGAAUAAUACCAAGAGUUGGAGAUGCUAUAAUGAGAAGUUGAAAGGCCUAACCUUGGAUGAAGUGCCUGAAAACUCAUCCUAGGUUUUCCUGGACAGGAGAAUGGAGAAUGGAAAACUGAACCAUGAAAUCAAAAAGGCAUCUGUCUUCCAGGUUGUUCUCUGCCAAUGUCUUGAGAAAAAUGUUUGAACUUUCCUGUUGGCUUUAUAUGCAAAUAGCUCCAGAUGCAAAGUGAACCACAUCUAAGUUAUUUGGUUCAACAUCUGCUGGUCCAAGUCCCAUUAUUCCUUCUAAAGGGUCAGCUUGUGACAGUUUAGUUUGCCCUCUAUCUAAGCUGUUUUGAAGGAGCUAAUUUGGAUUAAAGUAUCUAUCUGGA